UCGUAACAAGGUUUCCGUAGGUGAACCUGCGGAAGGAUCAUUACCGAGUGAGGGCCCUCUGGGUCCAACCUCCCACCCGUGUUUAUUUUACCUUGUUGCUUCGGCGGGCCCGCCUUUACUGGCCGCCGGGGGGCUCACGCCCCCGGGCCCGCGCCCGCCGAAGACACCCUCGAACUCUGUCUGAAGAUUGAAGUCUGAGUGAAAAUAUAAAUUAUUUAAAACUUUCAACAACGGAUCUCUUGGUUCCGGCAUCGAUGAAGAACGCAGCGAAAUGCGAUACGUAAUGUGAAUUGCAAAUUCAGUGAAUCAUCGAGUCUUUGAACGCACAUUGCGCCCCCUGGUAUUCCGGGGGGCAUGCCUGUCCGAGCGUCAUUGCUGCCCUCAAGCCCGGCUUGUGUGUUGGGCCCCGUCCUCCGAUUCCGGGGGACGGGCCCGAAAGGCAGCGGCGGCACCGCGUCCGGUCCUCGAGCGUAUGGGGCUUUGUCACCCGCUCUGUAGGCCCGGCCGGCGCUUGCCGAUCAACCCAAAUUUAUCCAGGUGAC
rnacentral:misc_RNA from 1 species